rnacentral:rRNA from 1 species
UACGGAGGGUGCGAGCGUUAAUCGGAAUUACUGGGCGUAAAGCGCACGUAGGCGGUGGCGUGAGUCGGACGUGAAAGCCCCGGGCUUAACCUGGGAAUUGCAUUCGAUACCGCGUCGCUAGAGUGUGGGAGAGGGAAGGGGAAUUCCGGGCGUAGCGGUGAAAUGCGUAGAUAUCCGGAGGAACACCAGUGGCGAAGGCGCCUUCCUGGCCUAAGACUGACGCUGAGGUGCGAAAGCGUGGGGAGCAAACAGG